UAAAGAAUUUCGGUAUGGGAUGGGGAUGCGUUCCAUUAGUUAGUUGGCGGGGUAACGGCCCACCAAGACAACGAUGGAUAGGGGUUCUGAGAGGAAGGUCCCCCACAUUGGAACUGAGACACGGUCCAAACUCCUACGGGAGGCAGCAGUGAGGAAUAUUGGUCAAUGGACGAGAGUCUGAACCAGCCAAGUAGCGUGAAGGAUGACUGCCCUAUGGGUUGUAAACUUCUUUUAUAUGGGAAUAAAACGUUCCACGUGUGGGAUUUUGUAUGUACCAUAUGAAUAAGGAUCGGCUAACUCCGUGCCAGCAGCCGCGGUAAUACGGAGGAUCCGAGCGUUAUCCGGAUUUAUUGGGUUUAAAGGGAGCGUAGGUGGAUUGUUAAGUCAGUUGUGAAAGUUUGCGGCUCAACCGUAAAAUUGCAGUUGAAACUGGCAGUCUUGAGUACAGUAGAGGUGGGCGGAAUUCGUGGUGUAGCGGUGAAAUGCUUAGAUAUCACGAAGAACUCCGAUUGCGAAGGCAGCUCACUGGACUGCAACUGACACUGAGGCUCGAAAGUGUGGGUAUCAAACAGGAUUAGAUACCCUGGUAGUCCACACAGUAAACGAUGAAUACUCGCUGUUUGCGAUAUACAGCAAGC
rnacentral:rRNA from 1 species